AGUGAACGCUGGCGGUAGGCCUAACACAUGCAAGUCGAACGGCAGCACAGUAAGAGCUUGCUCUUACGGGUGGCGAGUGGCGGACGGGUGAGGAAUACAUCGGAAUCUACUUUUUCGUGGGGGAUAACGUAGGGAAACUUACGCUAGUACCGCAUACGACCUACGGGUGAAAGCAGGGGAUCUUCGGACCUUGCGCGAUUGAAUGAGCCGAUGUCGGAUUAGCUAGUUGGCGGGGUAAAGGCCCACCAAGGCGACGAUCCGUAGCUGGUCUGAGAGGAUGAUCAGCCACACUGGAACUGAGACACGGUCCAGACUCCUACGGGAGGCAGCAGUGGGGAAUAUUGGACAAUGGGCGCAAGCCUGAUCCAGCCACACCGCGUGGGUGAAGAAGGCCUUCGGGUUGUAAAGCCCUUUUGUUGGGAAAGAAAAGCAGCAGGUUAAUACCCCGCUGUUCUGACGGUACCCAAAGAAUAAGCACCGGCUAACUUCGUG
rnacentral:rRNA from 1 species